rnacentral:lncRNA from 1 species
CUUUAGAACAACACAGAAAUUUCAGAAGGAACAAAUGUUAUGCCACCUAAUGCUCCUGAAAUAAAAAGGAAAAAAGAAGGAAAAAAGAAAAGGAGUUUUAGAGCUAUCAGCAGAGUGGGAUGCCAAUGGUAUUUAUAAAUGAGUGAGAGCAACAUCACACUAGAAAAUAGGAAGGGCAGUCAUUUGUGUCAUUCAUGGUGGAUAUUGGCAAGAAUUUGGUGACAUUACAUACAAUCAACUAUGAAUUUAUACAUGAUGCAUUCUAAAGGUUUUGUUUGUGUGUAAAAUUAAUAUCUGCCCUUUACAGAAUAUUUUUCUUUUCCCAGAGAUGGAAACAAAGAUCUUCCAGAUUUUCCAGCACCCUGAUGGCAGACAGAAACAGAGAGCUUUAAUGUAGAGCUGCCCCAGGAGGAGAAUGUUUAAAGCAGCUUCAACUGUGUCUGCUUAGAGACAGGAAAAAGAGGACAGGUCCAUGGAAGAGAAUCUGAAGACCAGCACAAAGGAAUUCCAGCCACACAAUAAGAUGCAACUGAAAACUAGCCAGAAAUCUCUGGACAAAGUAUGUUUCUUCGUUUGCACAAUAUUAAGGGUGUUGGUGGGAGUGGAAGGAAUUGGUGCUGAGGGAAUUAACUUUGCUUAUCCUGAAUGACAGCUGCAUCUUAAAACAUCCUACUAACACAUAGAUGCCCUUGCUGCAGUAUAGGAAGUAUUUGGGAGAAAAAAAAAUACUUCAUGAGAGAUUAGUCAAGCUAUAAUUCAGAAGUAUAUGGG